UUUUUUUUUUUUUUUUUUUAAGAGUUUACUAGCAUAUGUAAAACUUGACAAAGCUAAAUUAGAACCAACAAAGUACUACUCUUGAUGAUGCAGACAACUAAUUGUUCGGUUUCAAAAACAUGAAUGAUGAGGAAAAUAUCAAACCUGUAAGAGGGUGGAUUUUUAGGCCAAAACCUAUAGUUAAUGGCAGAAGGAGGCCAUAUUAUAUGGAACAAGUGAUCAACCCAUCCUUUCUUGCCCUCAACUUCUUUCUGCAACCUUGUUCCAUAACCCUCAAUAUUCUGAGAGCCUGGAAUCUUAGCAACCAGUUCUUUUUCCUCUAGUGGAAGCUCAAAGAACUCCUUCCCAACUUGCUGCAGUUUCCUCAUAACCUCCUCUGGGAUGCCAUGGUUGACAACUUGGAAGAUCCCCCAUUCUCUGCUAGCCUCAGAAAUCAACCCCACAAUUUUGCCUUCAUCAGGAUCGCUCAGAUCAAUCACCGGAACCUCAAGAACCGCCCCAUGGAAGGUUGUUACUGCAGGUUGCUCAUUUUCUGAUCUGAUGUAAUCUGUUGGAAUAGUAUCCAUGCAUUUGGAUAGCGAAGCAAUUUGUUGCACUCUUUCCAGCUCCAUUUCUUUUUUUUUUUUUCCUCCCUCACUCUCCAACAGAAAAACUUUUGAUGAUUUUCUUUCUUUGCUUCUUUAUUUUAUGCUAGAGUCUUGCCUCUUUGCAGCAUAUAUAAAGGGAGGCAAGACAAAAGCUGGAACCAAAUUCAUCAACACCAGCAAUAAUAUGCAUUGUGGAUGUCAUUAAUUUUCUUUGAAAAGAUAAAAAAGGGGUUACGUGGGUGAGUCUUGUUCAUUUGAUAGAUCAUGCCAAACCUCAACAGCAUGCACCGCUAUAGUAGCCUACAUCUUGCAUCAUACGAAGAAUAUGUUGAUAGGAUAGUUGGGUUAAAAUUCUCUGCGUCUAUAAAUUACUAUUGAUGGCUCAGAUGAAGUUGAUUUGAAAUCGAACAAAUUAUAUUGGUUACGUAAUACAACAAUUAAUUAUGGGCAAAAUUCUUAGUGUUUUUCUACCUUUUUUAUUUUAGUGUGACUACAUUUAUUAUUAUAGUACUUAUUUCUAUUGUUUUAAUGCAUACAUUAUGUUGUUCAAUUGAAUGCGACAGUUAGAGAACAUUGGAUCCAGGAUGGUUGGUGGCUUGGUACCUAAACUUAUUGAUGCAUAGCACAUGACCACAUGAGUUGAGUGUGCAAGUUAAAUAAAAUUACAAUUUGUAAACAUGACUUUUUAUAAUAACAACCUAAAGAUCAAUUUGAGUAAGGAUUUAUCGUUUUCUUUUCUAUUUUCUGUUUAUAAAACCUGUUAAGCAUUUGAAGCCUCGUAGUUUUCGAACUCCUCCUCAACUCCAUAAAUUUGUGAAAAAGUUUUGAACCAAUAUAUUACAUCCUACUGAAUGUAUAAGAAUUGUCAUCACUGUUAAAAAAAAUUUUUAGAAAAGUGCAGAAUUGGUUGAAUACAUUCGAAUUAUAUGAUGAUACACAAAUAUAAUCACCAUUUUGCCAUGCAUAUCACCUCACGAGUCUUGUACUACUCUCUGUCCCACUUUUUACUAUAUUGUUAUUUCUCCUUUAUAAACAUCAUAUUUUAGUUCUUUUUUGUUUCCUUAAGAUCCAAUAACUAUUACUUAAGUAAUACACAAAUACAACAAUCUCAUAAAAGCAAUAUAUAAUAGAAAAUUAAAAUGUACAACAAAAAAUUCAUAAAAAAUCUCAUUUUUUAUGCAUUUUGGCUUUUUGAGUUGUUACGUUUCGUGUAUUCUUCAAUCAAUAGUUAUUGGAUCUUAAUGAAACAAAAAAGAAUUAAAAUAUGAUGUUUAAAAAUAAGAAAUAGUAAUAUAAUAAAGUGGCAUAGAAAAUGACACACGAAAUGAGAUAGAAGAUCCGUUGCAGAGAUUUACCAUCAAAAUUAGAGAUGCUUUCAGAAACCUUCCUUGAGGUUUAUAACAAUUUCAUUUGACUCUCCUGAUGUUUCAAAUAUUACACAUACCACCUUUAUUUUGAGUUUUAAUGUAACAGUCAACCCAUGUCCAUAAACAAUUAUAUAAAAUGCUAAAAAAUACUUUCAUUCCCGAACCACAAGUCAUGACUCAUAAAGAUGGAUACAAGAAAUUCAAUUAAAAAAAAGUAUAAUCCAUUGAAAAAGUUAACGAAAUUUAUCUUGAAGAGUUACUCAUGUUAUGUUGUACUGAGUUAGAUACAUUUUAACUAAAUCAUUGGAAGAGUUAUUAUCGAAACCUUGACACUUGAAAAUACUUAGGUGUCACAAGAAUUUGAAAUUACAAAUUCAACUUUUAAAGGGUUUGAAAUUGUAGAAGAGAAAAUGAAUUGAUGUAUUCCCUAUUAGUAAUAAUAAACUAGACCAUAUUAUCGCAUUUUUCACAUUAUUAAAUUUAACAACAUCUAAAAAUUAAUAUCUUAAUUUGAUGAGAGAUAUUUGUUAUUUUUCUUGACUAUUUUUUUGCAUGAAAAUUUAGAUAUUUAAUUCCCUCAAUGAUUCUUUUAUGAUUUUAGCUUGAAAUAAUUUUGUCAGAUCAAUUCAGUUCCUUUGAUUGCACUUUUGUAGUCAAUCUUCCUUUAGUUUAAUCUAUUAUGUUAGCAUGCACGGGUAGUUUGAGGGAAAAAAAUGCUUUUCAACAAUUAAUAUUAUUUUUUUAGAUAUAUGGACUGACUUUGUUACAUAGAAAUUCAAAAUAGGGGAAGUAAGUGUAAUAUUUGAAACCACAUUGGAGCCAAGUGAAAUGGUCAAAAACCUCGAGAGAGGUUUCUAAAAUUAUUGCUACAAAUUAACUUCAGCAAAUACAUAUGUUAUCAUCGCAAAUAAGGGAUUAAUCUUUUAUAUAUUAAUAGUUUAUACACUAUCAAGUUUGAAUACAUGACUACUAAUUUUAAUUUAAAUUUGAAUUCUAAAUUUUAAACGUAUGGUAUACAUCUAAAUCCAAUAAUAUAUAUACUAUUAGUGCAUAUACGAUUAAUGCAGUUUUUUCUACUUACCAAAGUAGGCAUAAGAGUACCAAACGCUUUCCUCACUCGAGAUUCUGUUUUUCAUCAUGGUUUGCUGCAUUUUAUACAGAGCAAAAGCAAAAAAGAUGGAGAAAUUCACGAGGAAGCAUUUUAACUUCUUCAUAUGCAAUUCAAACCCAAUGCGAAAAUUUUGAAGUCAAAAAUAGACCACAGAAAAUCACAAGGUGUAUAGCGCUUUUGUCAAUUUAUGUCUUUAUUAUGCAGGAUAGUUUCAGGAACUUCCCUUGAAGUUUUUUGACAAUAUUAUUGAGCUUUCUUGAACUUUCAAAAAUUUCACUUACCUCCUUUAAUUCCAAUUUUGUUGUUCCAAAUUAGCCUAUGUUACGAAAAGUAAUAUUCAAAAAUGAAUUUGAGGAGAGAAAGGAGAAAUUCAUGCCAAAAUACCCUUUUGUAGUCUUAUUUAUUAAUUUAUUACCAAAAAAUUUCUCUCAAGUAGGCACUUUAUAAUUUUACACAAGUAUUUUAAUAGGCACUUUAUACCCUUCGUCAAAUAAAAAAUGAUGCAAAAUUAACUCCAUCCACGUAAUUGAUGAAAGGACUAAUUUAUCCUCUAUUAAAAGCUUAAGUGGCAAAAAUUUCCUUUCAAUGGGAAAAAAAUUUUCACUUUCAAGAGACUAAUUUUCGCUUUAUAAUAACAGUCCAAUUAAAAACACAUAAAAAUGAAAUGCUGGGCCACUUUCAAUGACAACUAAAACAAAAGAAGUGGAAGAAGCAAAAAAAAAGAAGGAAGAGAGGGAAUCAAUCAGUUUCAAGAAUGUCAGCAAUACAAUUCCACUACAGAUUUUAAGUCAGCCCAAGUCGGGAGAGGGCAAUGUAAAAUCCUGUUUAUUCCUCUAAUUCCUAGUUGUACUUUAGUUUUCUUGUUGCAUGCAUAUAACUAAGUGGAAAAUUUACUGUAUUUUGUCGAAACUUCUAAGUCCAAUAUUUUGUUUACUAAUAUGUGGGUUUCAAUUUAGCUUUGAUUUUUUUUUUUCCAAUUCAGGUUUGAUAUUGAACCUUUGCGGCUAUUAUUGUCUAAAUUCUUAUAAAAAAUUUUGGUUCUAAUCCAUUUAAAUUCUCGUGAAGAUUUCAAGUAAAAUUUUGCCUAGUAUAUGAAGCUCUGGGUUAUGAUGAUGAGAUUUUAGAAAUUGCAAGAGUAGCGUGUCAACAAUUUAAUUUUCAUAUUUUACCCUUUAUGUUUGAACCCCAACAACCUUAAUUACCAUCUAAAAUGACCACGUAUUUUAAAUUUAUUUGUUUUCAAUUAGACUUUUAUUAUAAAGUGAAACUUAGUCUAUUUAAAGUGGCAAUUUUUUCCCACCAAAAUGGUAUUUUUGCUACUUAGGAUUUAAAUAGAGGAUAGGUCGGUCAUUUCAUCAAUUAUUUAGAUGGCAUCAAUUUUUUUCAUUAUUUUUUAGUUGACCAAGAGUAUAAAGUACCUAUUAAAAUAGUUUAGAGUGUAAAAUACAACUGCAGUAAUAGUUCGUGGGUUUUCUGCAUUUAGUUGGACACUGGUUGUAUGUGUUUCACAUGAUUAAAUAAGCAAAAUGAUACCUUUUUCAAGACACUCAUAUUCAACUAAUAUGUUUGGUGCUAAAUGUUUUAACUUGUACUAUGCAUAGCCAUCCAACCUCUAAAGCCAUGGAGUUUUGAAGUGCAUGAAACUCAACCAAAGAAAGGAAGACUUUUUUUUUUUUUUCGGGAUUUCCUUUUGUGAAUUAAAGAGAGAUACUUGGCAAAUGCUACGUCUUUUCUUUUCUUUAUUUUGCUAUUGAUUUAUUAAAUAGGUAGGUAGCCUCAGCCCUCAGCCGUUGGGUAAUGGGAAGCUUAAGGAUAAAUUUCUUCAGAUGUCCCCAAAAGGUACUUGUAUAAAGGUUCUUUACCUUACCGUCCUUCAACUUCAAUAAAUUCUUAUCAAGUCCUCGAGUCGUUUUAAAUCAGUCAGUCCAGUACUCUAGUCCCUUCAAAAGUUCGUGAAAUCAUAUUUAUUUGAGUUUUGUUAUUUUAUCCUCAAUCCUUCUCCUAUUUUUUAAUGUUAAUAGAUAAAUUUUUUAUACCUUGUUAGUAUAUAAUUUUUUUACACUAGUAUGUUCAAAUCAUGCCACCUACAAAUUGAAAUUUAAAAGGAAAAAUCGUUCAAAACGUCUUUCGCAUUAAAUAUACACGACAGUAUAUAUAAAGUUUAUUCUUUUGUAAAAUGAAUUUUUUUUUUAUUUUUAAAAACGUAAUUUUGCGUUCCUUACAAAUUUACAUUAGUCAAAUUUGAUCCCUAUCUAAAUUUUCUACUAAUUUUUUGUCAAAACCCACCACGUGUGUUGUAUGAUAUUAUUUUUGAUGGACAAAAUUAUCAAAUCACAUUUUUGAGUAGCUAGUGUAAAUAAAUUACACCGUCAAUGCAUAAAAUAUUAAUCUUUUUUAAUCACCCUAGUAUACUUUUUAACUGUCUUUAGCGUAAUACAACACACACACAAAAGAUCAUACGACUUAAAUAUCUUUUUUGUGAUAACCACCUUGAUGGUACUUUAUAAACGGUUAUACACGAAGCAAACUUUCUGAGAUCUAUUCAUACUUUUUGCCCUCGGUUAAGCUUGUUAAUUGUGCACUUCAUUGAUUAUUCGAAAUGACACCUGGCCACCCAAGAAGUCUGUCAAAAUCGUUUGUUGUAUUGGAUGCUCCAGUACACCCAACACUGCUAUGUUGCUGAAAUUGCAAUGGCAGAACCUGAUAAUACCCCCAGGGAAUAAUUUUUCCUCACGUUACUACUACCACACAAGUAGGAGUGAUCAAACCACGUAAAAGCCUAGAUGAUGAACAUAAAUAGGAUUGCAACCUAUUUCCACACAGGAGAUCAAUCAGAUAGAUGAUGUAGCAGACUGAAUACUAGCAAUUAGAUAGAUGAUGUAGCCAGAAAAAGAGAAUCCUAAAAUACGUAGGCAUUAAAUGUGCAGACCUAGCAUAGACAGAACCAACUCAAGAGAUCACAUUAACAAACAGCUCAAACUGAGACAUUAUUUGGACACACAAGACUUUGAGCCCAUGUUAAGGUUCAAAAAAUCUCCAUUACACAUUAAAGCCUCAAAUCUUCCAGAUAACAGAUGUACAUUUUAACUUUCAUACGCACCAGAGGAAUUCCAACUAUAAGCACAACAUUAACGUUUUACGUUUAAUUUGCAAAAUAUGCUCUUUGAUA
rnacentral:lncRNA from 1 species